GUUCAGUCCCGUAUUAGGGUACAUACAAGAAAUAACCAAUGAAUGCAUAAAUAAGUGGAACAGCAAGUCAGUGUUUU